rnacentral:rRNA from 1 species
CCCCUAGAUGUUCUGGGCCGCACGCGCGCUACACUGAGCAGUUCAACAAGUCUUAACCUUGGCCGAUAGGUCUGGGUAAUCUUUGAACGCUGUUCGUGAUUGGGAUAGACCUUUGCAAUUAUGGGUCUUCAACGAGGAAUUCCUAGUAAACGCAAGUCAUCAGCUUGCAUUGAUUACGUCCCUGCCCUUUGUACACACCGCCCGUCGCACCUACCGAUUGAAUGGUCCGGUGAAAUCUCGGGACGGCGGCUUGGUCGCUUGCGUCCGACUGCUGAAACUUGAUUAAACCAUNUNAUUUAGNGGAAGGUGAANUCGUANCA